GGCAGUUUUAAGAAGAAUGCAUUGAUUCUACAACAUGCUAUUGUGAAGCCAUCCAGGACUGUUCACUCACUUAUUUAAGAAAGAGAAAAUAAGAGAAGUAUCCCUGAAGGAUGAAAUAUCCUCAAAUAUGAAAAUGUCUGCUCUCUGAAGACCAACUGUCUUAGUCUGCUUUUUGCUGCUGUAACAGAAUACCACAGACUUGGUUACAUUAGUUAUAAUAUACACUCUGGAGGUGACUUGACCUGUCAUUGUGAACAACUAUUGCUCUUGGACGACCCAGGACAUAGGCCAGCCAGUACGUACCCCAGUGUGUUGGAGAAUCGCGCUCGGCUUCUUCCUCUGUGCUGAGUCAUGAAAGUUGCCGGAGCAGGUGCAGUUACACAACCUCCAGGCAACAUCACAUGAUCGUUCAAAAAAUAAUCAUCAAGUCCAGGAUGCAGCAUCUGUCUCAGUUUUUGGCAUAGGAUGACAGUCUGAAAUACACUUACUGAAUUUGAAUAAGAACGGGCUCAGGUCAGUGAUUAUCGCUAGUGCCUUAUCAACGCCCUGUGGCUUUUCAGCAUUAGUCCCCAUAUCCUGGUCCGGUGUGGC
rnacentral:lncRNA from 1 species